GGGCGCAUAGCUCAGUUGGUUAGAGCGUUUGCAUGACACGCAAAAGGUCAGAGGUUCGACUCCUCUUGCGCCCACCA
rnacentral:tRNA from 1 species